CCUACGGGUGGCAGCAGUGAGGAAUAUUGGUCAAUGGCCGGAAGGCUGAACCAGCCAAGUCGCGUGAAGGAAGAAGGAUCUAUGGUUUGUAAACUUCUUUUAUAGGGGAAUAAAGGUAUCCACGUGUGGAUAUUUGCAUGUACCCUAUGAAUAAGCAUCGGCUAACUCCGUGCCAGCAGCCGCGGUAAUACGGAGGAUGCGAGCGUUAUCCGGAUUUAUUGGGUUUAAAGGGUGCGUAGGCGGUUGUUUACGUCAGCGGUGAAAGUUGGUGGCUCAACCAUCGGAUUGCCGUUGAAACUGGAAGACUUGAGUGUGUUUGAGGUAGGCGGAAUGCGUGGUGUAGCGGUGAAAUGCAUAGAUAUCACGCAGAACUCCGAUUGCGAAGGCAGCUUACUGGGCCAUAACUGACACUGAGGCACGAAAGCGUGGGGAUCAAACAGGAUUAGAUACCCCGGUAGUC
rnacentral:rRNA from 1 species